rnacentral:rRNA from 1 species
GACGAACGCUGGCGGCGUGCUUAACACAUGCAAGUCGAACGAAGUGGCGGACGGGUGAGUAACGCGUAAUAAACCUGCCCUUCAGGGGGGGACAACAGUUGAAAACGACUGCUAAUACCGCAUACUGAUGGGGGGGAUUGCGUGGGAUUAGCUAGUUGGCGGGGUAAAGGCUCACCAAGGCGACGAUCAGUAGCGGGUCUGAGAGUAGGAGCGGCCACACUGGGACGGAGACACGGCCCAGACGCCUACGGGAGGCAGCAGUGGGGAAUUUUGGACAAUGGGCGCAAGCCUGAUGCAGCCAUGCCGCGUGUCUGAAGAAGGCCUUCGGGUUGUAAAGUACUUUUGUCAGGGAAGCGGUACCUGAAGAAUAAGCACCGGCUAACUACGUGCCAGCAGCCGCGGUAAUUC